rnacentral:lncRNA from 1 species
AGUAAUUUGCACAAGAACGUAACAUCACUAUAUGCACUAUGAUUUCAGAGUGAAACAUAUGAUUAUUUGCUAUUGGACCAACCAAAUGUGGUUUCAACUCCACAUGAGAAAUACCAUGUAGGAACUGAAACAUACAUCCAAGCAUACAAAACCAAGAAGUCAAGCAAGAAUUUGAUAGGGCAUCUAAGCCACGAUAACAUUCAGUCACGUUUGUAUGCAGUGUUGGUAGAGCGAAAUGUGUCAAUGCCACGAUAACAUCCACAUGUCCACCGUCAUGCCUCCGCGGCUCCUCCUGUCAACCACGCGCCUCUACCAGCGGUUGUGCCAGCAAGAAUACCCUGUGGGGACAUUAGAAAUCUGUGGGGUCAAUCUUCUCAAGUUACAAGGACUAAUGCGUAAAAUUUAGAAAAACAAAGGGGUGCUAUAAAAAAGCUAUGGGUUACCUGACCCCACGGCUUACAUGUAGGUUCUGCACUGGCCUCUGCCAUGGCGUGUCCCCACCUUCCUCGUCGCGCCUUCUCAAGUAUUCCCAAGAAGAUAACAACAAUAACGGACUGUUUCAGUAUUAUAAACUUAAUAUUAAUAUUAUUCGACAGACGUUCAAACUUGCACACAAAUCAUGUAAUGCAAAACUACUAAUGCCAGCUUAAUAAAAUGGCUCCGCUGCAUCAUACAUGGCAAAUUAAAGAUCAUGCUUGGUCACUUGAGAUGGCACAAUGGAAUAGGAAGAUUUUACAAAAUGAAAAGGCAAUCUCUUCAAUUCUUAAAUUAGCAGCAUUUCAAUAUUUGCAGCUGUUGAAAACUUGGUUGUUAUUGUCCUACAGUCAAUAUACAACUUCAUAUUAAAGAUUACUUACUUGGUGAGCGAUUAGCUAGAUUACCUACUGGUGAGCGGUUAGCUAAAUUAGUGACGGCGGUUUUUAACACUCCCAAGUUCAAUUUAGUGUGAACGAUGAUAGAUUGGUGAAAUUUUAUCAUCCUGAUAUAAAAUGCAGGUUCGGACACUUUGUAGCAUAGUUACCAAGGUGAGUUGUGUCACAGGACAUUCUUUUUGAAGUGUCUAAUUAUAUAUGAACUUAAUCAUGGUUGAAGAACAUUGCCAUGCCUCCCAAAAGUUUAGAAGUUAUUAGGAAUGUAGUGCAAUUACUAAUUAGCCAUGCCGUGUUCUAGCAUAUAAGGAAAUUGUUUUUGUCCAGUAUGUAGUACUGGAACAAGUAGUGUUUGGAAGCAUAUACAUCAAAUAAAAAUAGUUGAAGGCCCAACGAUAAUUUCAUACCUGUGGCAGAGGCAUCGCUUCAACAAACAGUACUACUAAUGAACAUUGCAAUAUUUGUUCAUAGUACAUAAUCCUUGUACGUCAGAAACCAGAAACUUUGUGUCAGUGUGUUUCAUGAGAAGAGGAAGCCAAUCCGUCCUAUUCCUAGCACAACAGCAAAUCAAAGGGAAGCAUGCUUUACAUGGCAGACGUUCCAGGUAAGAGAAGAAAAUCUAAUAUGAUACUUAUCUAACUGUAUGAAUACAUUAGAAAAUAUCAUUUCCAAUUCAGAAUUUACCAUCCAGAAAUCACAACCCUCCAUUACUACUGCCAGCAUCAUGCCAUUAACUAGUUCUGCAAGUCCAGUUGAUCAUAAUCCUUCGUGGCAACAAGGAGGGCCAAACGUUUAUGUUCUGGCAGUAGAUAUCACUACCAUGACCAUUGCCUCAAUGACUAACUUCCAGGUUCAGUAUUGCAGGUCCUCAUAUAUGCCAUCAAGAUGAUCAGAAGACAUAUAACCCUGCAAACAAAAGCAAUUUUGUAUUGUUGCAUAGUACCUUUCAGGGAUAAAGAGAACUAUAAUCAAUUAAGUCGUCCCUUAGACAAUAUAACUUUCGUCACACAAGGGUGACAUACAGCAGAAAAAAAAAUCAGUUGGCUCAUUUCAACAAGCAUUUAUCAUAAUCAAACCAGCAACAUAGGAUCACCAAAUUUGAGAUUCUUUUUUCAACCGCAUAAAACAAACAUCAAUAACUGAAUUUCAUUUAAGUAUUGCACAUUGCAGGAUAAAAAGAAAAAGGAAACGGGUAUUACACAUUAUAAACUCACCUUCUUUGUAUCUGUUGGCGGGUUGCUUGACCAAAUUUAGUAAUAUGCAUGCCAACAUGUCAAAAACGUUGAGCACCAAUAAAGCAAAGAAAACCAUAGGUAGAAGAUAAAUCAAUAUACUUCAUUCAUAUGCACUAAAUGCAUUGUAAAAAGGUACAAGUACUGAAAUGGAAUCAAAAAAACAGAAAUAAGAUUUGCAUAAUGGAGUGAGAUAUGAUUACGUUAGUGAUGUUUAAGAAAGCGACCAGAGCUUGUAGAGUUAGUCGUUGAGUUUUGCUUCUCUACCACAGCAGCUCCGUCACGCGCGAGGUUCUUGCUCUGGUACUGCUGCCCAUGCACUCUGCAACUUAGCCUUCGACAAU